CAUUUAAGAUACUCUAGUCAAAAAGAUAAAAGUUUAUAAUAUAAAAACAUAGUAUAUGCUAUUUCAGUACAAGGUUCAAUAAUCAUUUAAUUUAGAAAAAGAAAUAGAGAAUGGCCCUUAAAUUAAAUUUUUUUAAAUUAAAAUUAGGAUUGCCUAAACUCUAGGUCUAACACAACACAUUUAUAUAUGUAAAUAACAAUUACACUGAAAUAAAUUGUGUAGGACAUAAUAUUAUAAGGAUUUGAAUAUUUAAUUUUAAUAUACAGUUU